CCUACGGGAGGCAGCAGUGAGGAAUAUUGGUCAAUGGGCGAAAGCCUGAACCAGCCAUGCCGCGUGCAGGAAGAUUGCCCUAUGGGUUGUAAACUGCUUUUAUACAGGAAGAAACACUCGGACGUGUCCGAGCAUGACGUUACUGUAGAAUACGACCCCA
rnacentral:rRNA from 1 species